CAAUAGCGUAUAUUAAAGUUGUUGCGGUUAAAAGCUCGUAGUUGGAUUUCUGCGAGGACGACCGGUCCGCCCUCUGGGUGAGUAUCUGGCUCGGCCUGGGCAUCUUCUUGGAGAACGUAUCUGCACUUGACUGUGUGGUGGCGGUAUCCAGGACUUUUACUUUGAUAGAAAUUAGAGUGCUUCAAGCAGGCAUACGCCUUGAAUACAUUAGCAUGGAAUAAUAAGAUAGGACAUCGGUUUCUAUUUUGUUGGUUUCUAGAGCUGAGGUAAUGAUUCAGUAGGGAUAGUUGGGGGCAUUCGUAUUUAACUGUCAGAGGUGAAAUUAUUGGAUUUGUUAAAGACGGACUAACUGCGUAAAG
rnacentral:rRNA from 1 species